UACGAAGGGGACUAGCGUUGUUCGGAAUUACUGGGCGUAAAGCGCACGUAGGCGGAUUUGUAAGUCAGGGGUGAAAUCCCGGGGCUCAACCUCGGAACUGCCUUUGAUACUGCAAAUCUCGAGUCCGAUAGAGGUGGGUGGAAUUCCUAGUGUAGAGGUGAAAUUCGUAGAUAUUAGGAAGAACACCGGUGGCGAAGGCGGCCCACUGGAUCGGUACUGACGCUGAGGUGCGAAAGCGUGGGGAGCAAACAGG
rnacentral:rRNA from 2 species